rnacentral:rRNA from 1 species
GUACACUCCUACGGGAGGCAGCAGUGGGGAAUUUUGGACAAUGGGCGAAAGCCUGAUCCAGCAAUGCCGCGUGAGUGAAGAAGGCCUUCGGGUUGUAAAGCUCUUUUGUCAGGGAAGAAACGGUGAAAGCUAAUAUCUUUUGCUAAUGACGGUACCUGAAGAAUAAGCACCGGCUAACUACGUGCCAGCAGCCGCGGUAAUACGUAGGGUGCAAGCGUUAAUCGGAAUUACUGGGCGUAAAGCGUGCGCAGGCGGUUUUGUAAGUCUGAUGUGAAAUCCCCGGGCUCAACCUGGGAAUUGCAUUGGAGACUGCAAGGCUAGAAUCUGGCAGAGGGGGGUAGAAUUCCACGUGUAGCAGUGAAAUGCGUAGAUAUGUGGAGGAACACCGAUGGCGAAGGCAGCCCCCUGGGUCAAGAUUGACGCUCAUGCACGAAAGCGUGGGGAGCAAACAGGAUUAGAAACCCGUGUAGUCCCAU